rnacentral:rRNA from 1 species
GAAGCGGCAACAGCUCAAAUUUGAAAUCCGGCGCAAGCCCGAGUUGUAAUUUGUAGAGGAUGCUUCAGGGCAGCGGCCGGUCUAAGUUCCUUGGAACAGGACGUCGUAGAGGGUGAGAAUCCCGUAUGCGACCGGUUGGCACCCGUCACGUAGCUCCUUCGACGAGUCGAGUUGUUUGGGAAUGCAGCUCUAAAUGGGAGGUAAAUUUCUUCUAAAGCUAAAUAUUGGCCAGAGACCGAUAGCGCACAAGUAGAGUGAUCGAAAGAUGAAAAGCACUUUGGAAAGAGAGUUAAAAAGCACGUGAAAUUGUUGAAAGGGAAGCGCAUGCAACCAGACUUGUCGGCGGUGUUCCGCCGGUCUUCUGACCGGUCUACUCGCCGCCGGCAGGCCAGCAUCAUCUGGACGCGCCGGAUAAAGGCGUGGGGAAUGUAGCUCCUCGGAGUGUUAUAGCCCCGCGCACAAUACGGCGCCGCCCGGGUGAGGUCCGCGCUUCGGCUAGGAUGCUGGCGUAAUGGUCGUCUGCGGCCCGUCUUGAAACACGGACCAAGGAGUCUAACAUCUAUGCGAGUGUUCGGGUGUCAAACCCCUACGCGGAAUGAAAGUGAACGGAGGUGGGAAGCGCAAGCUGCACCAUCGACCGAUCCUGAUGUCUUCGGAUGGAUUUGAGUAAGAGCAUAGCUGUUGGGACCCGAAAGAUGGUGAACUAUGCCUGAAUAGGGUGAAGCCAGAGGAAACUCUGGUGGA